AACGAACGCUGGCGGCAGGCUUAACACAUGCAAGUCGAACGCCCCGCAAGGGGAGUGGCAGACGGGUGAGUAACACGUGGGAACAUGCCCAAAGGUACGGAAUAUUCUCGGGAAACUGGGAGCAAUACCGUAUGUGCCCGAAAGGGGAAAGAUUUAUCGCCUUUGGAUUGGCCCGCGUUGGAUUAGCUAGUUGGUGGGGUAAAAGCCUACCAAGGCGACGAUCCAUAGCUGGUCUGAGAGGACGACCAGCCACACUGGGACUGAGACACGGCCCAGACGCCGACGGGAGGCAGCAGUGGGGAAUCUUGGACAAUGGGCGCAAGCCUGAUCCAGCCAUGCCGCGGGAGUGAUGAAGGCCCUAGGGUUGUAAAACUCUUUCGUGGGGGACGAUAAUGACGGUACCCCAAGAAGAAGCUCCGGCUAACUUCGUGCCAGCAGCCGCCGUAACAC
rnacentral:rRNA from 1 species